rnacentral:rRNA from 1 species
AUGAACCGCCUUCUCCGUCGCACCUGCUCGGUGGACCUCGACAAGCCGCCGUGCAACCCCUUCACCCCAAUCCCCGCUGUCCUCCCAGCGACGCCUGCCGCCGUGCCCGCACCACGCCGCGCCGUCCUCGCCGAUCGCGGCAAGGCCAACGUCCCCGCGGUGCCUGUGCCCGCCGCUGCGGCCGACGGCGCCUCUUCUUCAUCUGCGCCGCGUACGGUGCGCCUCGCUCCACAGCCUGCGGCUGGUGUCCUCCGCACGACCGGGAGCACACUUGUCCCUGCGCCGGGCGGGCCGGGCCGCGCCAUCGUUCCCCAUCUCGCGCUCGGCGGCCUUCGCAGCUCCGACGCCGGCCCCUCCUCCGCGGCCGCGGGUCUGCCGCCCUCCAUCGCCCACUUCUUCUCGGCCAAACUCCAACUUGAGUCGGGCAACUACUCCCGUUGGCGCCAGCUCUUCUAUAGCAUCUGUUGCAAGUACGAGGUCCAACACCACCUCAACGUCGCCGUCGAGCCGCUCGGCCAAAGCGCCGUUUGGCGCAACGACGACCUGACCGUCGUGCUCUGGAUGCACGGCGUGGUCGACGAAGAACUCCUCGAUGUCGUCGCCACCGCGGCCAGCACCGCCUACGACAUCUGGACGCAGCUCCACCUCCUCUUCAUGGACAACCAGUCGGGCCGCGCCGUCAUCCUCGGCGCCGAGUUCCGCAACCUCGUCCAGGGCGAUCUCUCCAUCGCCGAAUACAGCAGGCGACUCAAGUCCCUUGCUGACGCCCUCAAGGACGUGGGCGAACGCGUCACCGAUCAGUCCCUCACUCUCCAGCUCAUUCGCGGCCUAAACCGUAAGUACCACGUCAUGGCCACCCUCUUGCCGAUGCAGUCGUCGUUUCCUUCUUUUGUGCAGGCCCGCUCGCGGCUACUCAUGGAGGAGAUCUCGGCCAACGAGCGGGCUCGCCUGGACGGUCGCCCCGAAGCAACAGCCACAGUGCUCCACAUCGGCCAGGGUUUCGGUGGCGGCUCCGGUGGCACCAGUGGCUCCUCCGGGGGCUCCUCCGUCGACCGUGGUGGCUCCGGCGGUUCCCAAAACGACCGCGGCAAGGGCCCAGCCGCGUUCCCCACCUCCGAUCGCGGUGGCCGCGGGCGCGGGCGCGGCGCCCAGUCUCCUGGUGGCACCCCGACGGGUCGCGGUGGUGCCCCGCCUGCUCCUGGAGCGCUAGCGCCUCUCUCCACCGGGUACUUCGCUCCUUACGGGGCCCUGCUUCCCGGCCUGCCCCAGCCUCGCGCGCCCUGGGCUGCCCCCAACGCUGCAGGUGUCCUCGGCCCACGCCCGCCACCGCCGCACUAG